AUGCAAGUCGAGGGGUAACAGGGAGUGCUUGCACUCCGCUGACGACCGGCGCACGGGUGCGUAACGCGUAUGCAACCUACCUUUUACAGGGGGAUAGUCAAGAGAAAUUUUGAAUAAUACCCCAUACGAUCCUGAUAUCACCUGAUAUUUGGAAGAAAACUUCGGUGGUAAAAGAUGGGCAUGCGUCCUAUUAGUUAGUUGGUGAGGUAACGGCUCACCAAGACAGCGAUAGGUAGGGGUCCUGAGAGGGAGAUCCCCCACACUGGUACUGAGACACGGACCAGACUCCUACGGGAGGCAGCAGUGAGGAAUAUUGGACAAUGGAGGCAACUCUGAUCCAGCCAUGCCGCGUGCAGGAAGACUGCCCUAUGGGUUGUAAGCUGCUUUUAUACAGGAAGAAACCUACUUACGUGUAAGUAGCUGACGGUACUGUACGAAUAAGGAUCGGCUAACUCCGUGCCAGCAGCCGCGGUAAUACGGAGGAUCCAAGCGUUAUCCGGAAUUAUUGGGUUUAAAGGGUCCGUAGGUGGUUUGCUAAGUCAGAGGUGAAAUCCUACCGCUUAACGGUAGCACCGCCUUUGAUACUGGCAAACUUGAGUUAUUGUGAAGUAGUUAGAAUGUGUAGUGUAGCGGUGAAAUGCAUAGAUAUUACACAGAAUACCGAUUGCGAAGGCAGAUUACUAACAAUAUACUGACACUGAGGGACGAAAGCGUGGGUAGCGAACAGGAUUAGAUACCCUGGUAGUCCACGCCGUAAACGAUGGUCACUAGCUGUUUGACUAACAUUGGUUAGUUGAGUGGCUAAGCGAAAGUGAUAAGU
rnacentral:rRNA from 1 species